rnacentral:misc_RNA from 1 species
AAGGAGUCUAACAUAUCUGCGAGUAUUUGGGUGUCAAACCCGAGUGCGCAAUGAAAGUGAACGUAGGAUCCACGCGCAAGCUGCAGCUUCGACCGAUCUGGAUCUUUAGUGAUGGAUUUGAGUAAGAGCAUAUAUGUUGGGACCCGAAAGAUGGUGAGCUAUGCCUGAAUGGGGCGAAGCCAGAGGAAACUCUGGUGGAGGCUUGUAGCGAUUCUGACGUGCAAAUCGAUCGUCAAAUUUGGGUAUAGGAGCGAAAGACUCAUCGAACCAUCUAGUAGCUGGUUCCUG